UACGUAGGCAGCAAGCGUUGUUCGGAAUUACUGGGCGUAAAGAGUGUGUAGGCGGUUCCUUAAGUUCCGUGUGAAAUCUCCCGGCUCAACUGGGAGGGUGCGCGGGAAACUGGGGGGCUCGAGUAUGGGAGAGGAAAGCGGAAUUCCUGGUGUAGCGGUGAAAUGCGUAGAUAUCAGGAGGAACACCUGCGGUGUAGACAGCUUUCUGGACCAUCACUGACGCUGAGGCGCGAAAGCCAGGGGAGCAAACGGG
rnacentral:rRNA from 1 species